rnacentral:rRNA from 1 species
GACGAACGCUGGCGGCGUGCUUAACACAUGCAAGUCGAACGGAAAGGCCCUGCUUUUGUGGGGUGCUCGAGUGGCGAACGGGUGAGUAACACGUGAGUAACCUGCCCUUGACUUUGGGAUAACUUCAGGAAACUGGGGCUAAUACCGGAUAGGAGCUCCUGCUGCAUGGUGGGGGUUGGAAAGUUUCGGCGGUUGGGGAUGGACCCGCGGCUUAUCAGCUUGUUGGUGGGGUAGUGGCUUACCAAGGCUUUGACGGGUAGCCGGCCUGAGAGGGUGACCGGCCACAUUGGGACUGAGAUACGGCCCAGACUCCAACGGGAGGCAGCAGUGGGGAAUAUUGCACAAUGGGCGGAAGCCUGAUGCAGCAACGCCGCGUGCGGGAUGACGGCCUUCGGGUUGUAAACCGCUUUCGCCUGUGACGAAGCGUGAGUGACGGUAAUGGGUAAAGAAGCACCGGCUAACUACGUG